GGAACCUUAGCUCAAUCGGUUAGAGCUGUCGGCCCAUAACCGACUGGUUGCAGGUUCGAGUCCUGCAGGUUCCA
rnacentral:tRNA from 1 species